rnacentral:rRNA from 1 species
CCUACGGGUGGCAGCAGUGAGGAAUAUUGGUCAAUGGACGAGAGUCUGAACCAGCCAAGUAGCGUGAAGGAUGACUGCCCUAUGGGUUGUAAACUUCUUUUAUAUGGGAAUAAAACGUUCCACGUGUGGGAUUUUGUAUGUACCAUAUGAAUAAGGAUCGGCUAACUCCGUGCCAGCAGCCGCGGUAAUACGGAGGAUCCGAGCGUUAUCCGGAUUUAUUGGGUUUAAAGGGAUCGUAGGUGGAUGGUUAAGUCAGUUGUGAAAGUUUGCGGCUCAACCGUAAAAUUGCAGUUGAAACUGGCAGUCUUGAGUACAGUAGAGGUGGGCGGAAUUCGGGGUGUAGCGGUGAAAUGCUUAGAUAUCACGAAGAACUCAGAUUGCGAAGGCAGUUCACUGGACUGCAACUGACACUGAGGCUCGAAAGUGUGGGUAUCAAACAGGAUUAGAUACCCGUGUAGUC